GACGUAGGGCGCGAGCGUUGUCCGGAUUUAUUGGGCGUAAAGAGCUCGUAGGCGGCUUGUCGCGUCGACCGUGAAAACUUGGGGCUCAACCCCAAGCCUGCGGUCGAUACGGGCAGGCUAGAGUUCGGUAGGGGAGACUGGAAUUCCUGGUGUAGCGGUGAAAUGCGCAGAUAUCAGGAGGAACACCGGUGGCGAAGGCGGGUCUCUGGGCCGAUAUCGACGCUGAGGAGCGAAAGCGUGGGGAGCGAACAGG
rnacentral:rRNA from 1 species